CUCCAUGAACUCAGCCUCCUCCUGUUCCUGUCUUGAGCUUGCUCCUGUCCCAGGUGAGUAUGGAACUUCUGGAGGAGGUGUAGUGGGCUGGGCCUGCUGCCUCCAGGCUGGUCUGACAGCCAUUCCUGCACCAGCAGCUCCCUCCCUCCCUCAGAGCCCCAGGAGGAGCCCCCUCUGCCCCUCCCCUCCUUUUCAGGACAGUGUCAGAAUGAGGCUGGUUUCCCUGCUCUGGACCCUUCCUUUGCCGUUCCAGUAAUGCUGGACGACCCCACUCGCGUCAUGGCUCCCUUCAAUGUCUGUUGAUGCUCAGUGGCCCCUGGACCACUUUAGGCGUGGGCAGGAGAUUGCUCUGAGUUUGCACCCAAACACCAGCUGCAGCCAUUUACGUUGUGUGCAUGUGAUGACUGUCUCUGUUGAUGUGACUUGAUGGGACUAAGCUGCAACCCUGCUGCCUGCAAUGUUCUCUUUAGAGAGGCAGAGCUGAGUGGUUCUCUGCUUUAAGAGAAGACAUCCAACUGCAAAUUAUGGACAUUGGUCAUGAUUUUGCUGUCCAAUAUUUAAACCUUUUUCUACAUCUGUGCUGAAGUUUCCGUCUCUGGGGGAUAGGCAUGUGCCAACUAUUCAUUCUAGAAAUGGAAUGGAAGAGGUGCAUGACUGCCUCUGCUCUGGUGAGUUCCAGGAGACCACAGCUUCACCUAGCAAGCGGUUUUCUUCCACUGGCUCCCUCGGAACUCAGGAGGCUGCUGUGCUGUGUGAACUGGCAGAACAGAUGGAGGGAGGAUCUCGCCUUCCCAGUCACAUCAAGUGUGGUCACCUUGGCACAGAAUCCCAGGAAGAGCCUGGCGUCACCAGAUUCUGUCUCUCCUCACUGGGGCUCAAAGUGAGCUUCUAGAUCUGCAGGGGGCCAAAGGCCAGGCAUCCUGUCCAUUCUGCCCUGAUGUCUGCUGAGUCCUCUGCCUCUGACCCUGAAAACAAUCCUUUUUCUUGCAGUCACCAUAUGAAAAUCAAUAUACACAGCAAUUCAUGCAAUCAUUUGUCUGCAGUUGGACCUGCAGCUACAGAAAUUCAGAUCUAAGCCCAAAGGAGCAUCCUGUUACAGGUGAACUGCAAGAUCAACCUUCACAAGUGGGAUCUGUUUUCCUGUUCAACAGUUUUUCUGGACUUUUAUUUCAGGCAUGUGGUUGAAUAAACAUGGGAGCUAGAGAAACAUUUGGAAGCUCCCUUCUCCUGCAGGACCAUUAGAGCCACCGUAGAAUAUAACUUUGUUGCAUUCUUAGAUUACAAAGAAGAGAGGGAAGUUCCAGAAUUAUUUUUAAAUGAAACACCUGCCUUGAGACAAAGUGAAAAGUCCCAGCUCUGAUCUUCAUGGUGGAUGGAGCUUAGAACCAACUUGUUCUAUCUUUAGAUGACUUGGAAUUAUCUGGUGUUUUGGCAGUUGGACAAUUCUAGAUUUCAUGGGUCUUUUGAGGUGGAGACAGGGGUGAGAAGUAGGGUUCAGAGGGGAGAGAUUGCUGCUAUUUUAGGAACCGUUCCUUAUCCAGAAAGGAAAUGACCUGCCAUUACUAGAACAGCCUGCUCUAAGAUCACAAGGGACCACUCAGUAAGUGAAGAAGAGAAGCACCAUUUCUAGUUCAAUUUCCUGGUAUCUGGAGAAAGGGAACACUGGCCUUUCAAGAUCAUUGCCACAGGGCUGGGUUGGAUAGGGCUGACCUGAGCUGAGACUGGUCCCCACAGCCUCUCUAACUUCCCUCAGGCACAGGUCCCCCAUCUGCACCUGCCUGAGUCUCCAGACCUCCUCAGCUCAAACCCUCCUCCUUGGUCCUGGGUCCCAGGCUGCUCCUUACAACCAUCUGACAGUCCAGGCUGCUGACUGACACAGCAACACCUGCUCUUCACUGCACAGGGCAGAGCUGGGACCAUAACAGCCCACACCACAGCACUGAGCUCAGCUCCUGCAGACCACACUUUCCCAGAUGUAUGAACCCAGACUUCCCCUUAACCCUCUCCCAUCCAGAGCACUCUCUCAGGCCCUGCUCAGAUUUGCCAGAUCUCUACAGGGUCACAGCUCCCCCUUGUGGCUGCAGGGUCAGGAGUGCAAGGACUUGGUCCUGCUGCACACCAAGAGGAACAUGGUGGUAAGGGUCUUAGAAACAGAGACCACAUGGGAGGGGAGAGGGUGGUAAUCAGUCCCUGCCCUUCUCAAUCCAGAUAUAUUUCUCAAAAUGUCCCCUUUUGAAGAACCCCGUGCCCCUUGUGUGAGCAAAGCAGGCAGGGAGUUCCCCAAGGUCAGCUUCAGGGCAUCAGAUAGAAAAGGGCCACUGCAGGCUACUGGAACAGUGAUUGCAUUGUCUUUGAGGCACCUGAGCCUUAGAAGCGGCUUCCACAGGAAGAGAAGGAGCCUCCACCCCAGGAAGACACCAGUCUGACCAGGACUCCCUCUGCCUCUCAGAGGGAGGCCAAGCAUAUGGUCCAGGCCCACACCAGAAGGUGUCUUGAGGCUCUGCAGCAUCCAGGGACCCUGGCAUGAAGAAGGCAGAAGGUACUUCUUCUGGAUCCAGGGCUUGGGGAGAAGAUGGUACCCCUAACACAUAGACAUCACUUAGCAUCAGGACCCAGUAUUCCAGGAUGGGUAAACUCUACCUGCACCCAGGGCUGAUGUCUAGGGUAUGAGGAGCACGAAAAAAGAACAGUGAGCAAAUAAGUUCAGCCCCCAUGACUGGGGCAUUUCUUUCCUUGGUACUUUGAUCCUUAUUAGGGAAAAGCAGACUGUGGCCAACCUGGGCCCUGAAAUUGUUUUUUCUGGUGAUUCAGUAGACUUGUAGGUUUCUGAAGUUGAGGGCCCCUCUGACUCAGAACAACUGCACUGCCUAUCUCUGGGCCCUGACUUGAAAUCUCAGAGCAUCACAGCAGGACGGACCCUGCCUGUGUUACAGGAAAGCCCUUUCCAUCAGCUCUGAUGAGAACCCUCUGCGGGCUGCUUUUCCUACACUGGGGCACACAGCUGUCCCACCAGCUCCUUUUCCCUGGUGUCCUAUGCAAGCCUGGAGGUGGCCUGUGAAGCAUGCACAGAGGGCCACGGAGGUGCCUUUCCACACCUCAUUCAGUCACCAGCUCACAGCUGCCUCAGUGGUCCCCCUUCAAUUACAGAACAAGAUCCUCCUUGUCAUCAGGGCACUCCUACAGCAGGAGGAGACUUUUGUGGUUACAGUGUCACAGAGAUGUGUGCUGCCCUCCUGUCUCCAUGGCUAUGUGGAGGGGUUCAGGACAGGGUCCUUGUCUACUAUAGCUCUGCCCCUCAGCAAACACCUCUGUGGGUUCAUGAGACUGCGGCAGGAGGUCAGGAGAGAUGGGAAUCAUUGCUCCUCCCCUUUUCCAUAUGUGUGCAUCUCCACCAAAGAAAGACCUCUGUUAAUCUUACUUUAUUGUGCUGCUGCAGUACUACUGGCUGCUUUGUCUGACAACCAUUCCAAAUUGCCUAAAAAUCCCAUGUUCACUAUUAGUUUUAAUUAAUUUGCACAAGAAUAGAAGGCUUUGUGUCCCACCUUUCUUUUUCCAGUGUUUGCCUGGCAGCCACAAAUAUGGUUUAUGGUGCAGAAACCAGGCCUGAGCCUUCCAUUAACUCCCCCUGCCAGACACUUCUCAGCUUCUCUGAAGUCACUGAGUGAUGGAAGAACCACAGUGUCCCGUAGUGGCCAACGGGCAGGCUUCCUGGAGUAGCCCUUGGCUAAGACCAUGGAUGAAUGAUGCUGUGUUCCCCUGGUUCAGGGGUAAUGGUGGUAGAGUCGCUGGUGUUUUAGGGCACAAGAGCACCGCCAUUCUUUCUUGUCCAAAAUCAAAAACACUUGAGAGAGGAAUGCUGAGCUCAGAGAAAAUGAAGUCCAAACAUCUGCCUUGGUGCUGGGAUGGGAGGGGCUCACCUAUGCAGCUGUGGCUGGCCAGUGUCCCUCUGAAUUGAGCGUGCCAACCCUUGAUCCUCCUGUCCUAGAGUGGCCAACUCUCCUCCUGAGUGAAGAGUCUGCUGCUAGUUGUGCUGUCAUUCUGUGCAGGAGACUGGAAAGCAUCUUCCUCACAGGUGGUAAAACAGGGCCUGAGCUGAGCAUGCCCAGUUCCUUCCUUCAACAUCCCAAUCAGAUCACUGGGUUUUCCCACUAGAGAGAGGAGGGAGGGGAAGAAACACUGCUCCAGAGGAUCCCACCCCUCCCAUCCAGGGCAGCUCUCCAGGAAAUUAUCAUUUCCCCUGAGAUGCUCAAGGCGUGCAUGGCCCUCACACCUUGGACUCAGCCAUUACAGGGUGGGCCAGGAGAGGGGCAGGCUGUGAGGAAGACGCUGCUACCACCUCCUGGAGGAGUCUCCUUCAGAAUCAACUGCUGCUCCCCUGAAUACAGCUCUGGCCGCAGAACAGGUGAAAUGGAUCAUGACAGUGUGGCAAUUCAGUAACUCCAAGGCCAUCUGGUUGAAAGGCUCAGAAUUAAUUUUCUAGUCACCUUUUCUUCCCUAAUCUGCCUUGCUAUAUUUCUCAUUUUGAUGAAACAAAGAUCCUUUGAGAAGCUUAAAGGACGCCUACUGAAUCACCAAUGAUCAAAAGCCAACACCAGAGCUGCCUGGAAUUGGACUAUGUACCCCUUCUCCCAAAAAUUCCUUUCAAAGAGCAAAGGGAGGCCAAUCUAAUCCUCGACUCUAUCUCUUCUCAAUCUCAUUUUUCCAGGCAUUGAACAGUGUUUGUUUGCAUUGCAGUUCUUUUUAAAAUUUCUACUAGAAUGAUACACUUUAAUCAGCUCUCCCUCUACUAUAAAAAAGAUUGAGCUGAAUUUCUUAAUUUUUAAAAUGUUUUUAAAAUUUCUUCUUUUUUUUUUCCUGCUCAGACAAAUAGUGUUAGCAAUCUUCAGAGGCAUUGAGCAGCUUCUUUGAUUUUAUGUUUUCUUUCUGAUCCACAUCAUUAGCUUCCUAAUAUAUUCUGUAGGCUUGAACUCGGUGUUAUUAUCUGAGAUGUGAAAUUAUCGAGGUCUGGGUCUUCAUAAACAAGCACUGUAGGAAAAGGGCACAGUGAGACUGGACAGGUGUGUGUGUGAUCUGGGAAUUACCAGUGUGGCUCCACUUGGAUUGUUCCAGAGUAGGCUGUUCCCAUCAGAGAAUGUUCCUCAGCAUUCUAUGUGCAAGGGACCCUUCAGCUGGCAUUGGCUCUGCUCAUGCAGGACAAAGAGACCCUCAGACACAGGGGUGGCAUCUCCCAGAUCAAAUGUUAAAAUGCCUGCUUUACCUGGAUUGGAGAUACUCUCUAAGUUUCUUGAAAUAUCCCCAAGGAAAUGUUAAUUCAAAAUUUAAAAUAAGAAAGUAAUGUUCAAAAUCACAGUAAAGAACCUUCUUUUAAAGUCAUUUGACUCAGGGGAGAGGAGACCUGUUACACUUGGGAUGUGAAGGAAUGAAGAGGAGGAGAAAGGUAGCAGGCUCAGCCCUUUCUAGCGCCUCCCACAGUCCCACAGGAUUCAAAUGCAGGAAUGAGUUGGUCCACCCUGUGAGUACUUAAAGUUUCUCUGAUAAUGAGCUCUGAGCCCACAGAUAAUUUGUAAGGAAUCCUUUCAACCAGUCCCAAAUUUAUUUCCUGCUCCAGAUUUCCUGCCUUGAUACUUUAUCAUUUUCAGUCUUUGUGAUACCCCAAGCUGAUUUAAUUCUGCAGUGAGGGAGGAUCAGGGAGACUUCACUUAGGACUGACAGGGCUGGAGGGCCAAGAGGAAGCACUAGGGUUUCUGCACCUGCACAGGGGAUUCUGCAGGGUUGAGGCUAAGCUGCUGGCACAGAGAUACACAGCUGUGUCCCUGGGCUCUGUGGGAUGGAUCUUCAAGGUAGAGAAGGAGGCCUUAGGCAUGGCAGCUGAGAAGCAAUCCUUGGGUAUUCCUCCAUCACCAAUAAGAGAUCAGCUACAGACAUCAGUUAGC